UACGGGGGGGGCAAGCGUUGUUCGGAAUUACUGGGCGUAAAGGGCUUGUAGGCGGCCAACUAAGUCAUACGUGAAAUCCCUCGGCUUAACCGGGGAACUGCGUCUGAUACUGGAUGGCUUGAGAUUGGGAGAGGGAUGCGGAAUUCCAGGUGUAGCGGUGAAAUGCGUAGAUAUCAGGAGGAACACCGGUGGCGAAGGCGGGUCUCUGGGCCGAUAUUGACGCUGAGGAGCGAAAGCGUGGGGAGCGAACAGG
rnacentral:rRNA from 1 species